AAUCUGUGAUUUUCAGUAAAAAUUGACAGAGGAGCAUGUAUAAAAAUUCGAACGAAGUCCCCCGAAAUCCCAAGCAUCGAUCCCUGGACGCGCAAGCGCCGGCCGGCGGAUUUCACCUAGUUUUCGUGACACGGCUCGUGCGUUCGUACAGGAGCGAACUAUCGCCGCUCUAUUUUCGUUUUCGUCCAGUAUUACGGCAGCGAUUCUGGCUGGGGUAAGAAUUUCCUGCCGAAAGUCCGCGGACAAACGUCAUCCGCGCAUUUCAGUUUCCCGAAAGAAGUAAACCCUAACAUGCCAGGACACUCGAACACCCUACACAAUUUAUAACAUUAUUAAUCGCGACACUUACAACGAAUUGUGGAAAGUAACAAAAGAUUAUUUACAAUUAUAUUUAUUUCCACAGGCCCAUGGAAACACUAGACACAGAAAAAUAUUGUUUAUUUACGUAGCAAUGACUGAUAACUGAUCCUUUAUACAGAGUGUCUUGAUAUACAAGAACAAGCUCGAUAGUCAAAUUUUUGGAAGAUUUGUCUGUGAUUUUCUCUGUACACGCAGUACGAUAGUUCAAUGUCCGUCCUCCUCGAUGCAUGUGGCAAUGACACUGGCUCGAUAUCGAAGGCUGAGGAUAACUUGUCGAACAGCGAUGGACCUCUGAUCAAGGGCUACAUCCAGCAGAACAAUUGCAAUAGUGUCAGAGCAAGUUCUGAGAACGUGAACCGGACGAUGACCGGUUCUUCCCUCGUGAUGUCGACUUCCAACGAGAAGCCAACGAAGCGACGUUACUGCCUGUGGACGUUGACACUGGUCCUGGCGAUAAUUGGCCUCUGCAAUCUCUUCCUCAACAUCACCGUGAUAGCCGUUCUGCGAAUUAGUCAGGGAAUGGAGGCAAUGGAAGUAAUACCUGACGAGAAUCUCGUGAAAUUUUAUGGAAAAACUGACUUGGACAGUGUGUGCCUACAGUCGGAGGUUUGUCAAGGCUAUGGGGACGAGCCAAUGGAGGUUUCCGGAGAUGAGGGCGGUGUCCAAAUUAAAGUGCACGACCGUAGAGUCCACGACGAACCCAGUACAAAAGUAACAAUCCUACCAAAUGGUACCGCCUGGUCUCAGGUCGAGUCCUUUGAGAUCAAGGACCCUAGAACCGGAGCUAUCUACUUCACCACCGACUUCCCCAACUUCAGUUUGCCGGCGGGCGUCAAGAAAAUUGAUGUGAAGAUCGCAGAGACAUACAGAAUCACGUCGCCGGUUAACGAGAGCCUGACGGUGAGCUCCGACGAUCAGAUUUCCAUGCAUGGCGCUGAAGGCGCUACGAUGGAAAGCAAGGACAUCGUUUGGAGCGCUGAUACAGACAUUUUGUUGAAGAGCGUCAACGGUAGCAUCAUUCUAGACGCUGCUGACGGUAUUUCCAUUGAUGUGGACAAUAUUCCUGUCGCGCCAUUGUUUUUACAGAAUCCUAGCCACGAAUAUAAAGUUUGCGUGUGCAUGCCUCAAGGGAAACUGUUCAAGGUGCCGGUUCGAUCCGGCAACGGCAGCACAUUUGUUAACUGCGCUCGUGUCAGUAGAACCCCGGAGAACGAUCCUUGCUCACGAUAGGAUCAAGAAAAGGCUGUUAUGAUUUAAAAUUUUGAUUAUUCGUCGUGUCCAGCACUGUCGACAAGCAAGCAUAAGGUUGGUUAAGACUGUCACACAGGCCUCUAAUCGUCACGUACAAUACCACACAAAAUUACACGGAGUCAACGCAUCUGCACUAAUUAGAUUACUGUUCAUAGAAAGUUCGUGAAUUAGUAAAUUCGUAUGCAAUACUGAAUACAUUAUCUUUUGUAUCAGAUAAGAAGAUUAUGAAUAAACCAUCAUUGUAGAAAAUA